rnacentral:lncRNA from 1 species
ACAGAAAAUAGCUCUUUGUACUUCAGUAGUACUAAAUGUAUGGGAUGUUUAAUGCUUUUGUCUGUGGCUAUGUAAAUCUGAAGCAUGCUGUUAGGGUUAAAGUAAGUGAACUCUUAAGUUGACACACACCAGUGUGUAUAUCAAAUGAAAAAUAAUUUAUGGUUCCUUUUGUCAAUAAUUGCUCAUCCAACUAGAAUUUAGCAUAGUCACUGAGAAAAAUAAGUAGGAACCUUCAUAACUUUAUAGAAUUUCUGUCAGAAGAAACCAUUUAUAGUUGGUCAUAGAUUCUCAGUGUUGUGAUUUUCCUUUUUUCAGGUCCUACCUGCUGUUCAGUGGUUGUAUGUGUGAGGUGUAUGUUAAAAGAGAGAGUCAGGGAUCAUAUCAUUUCCAUUUCCAGAGAUCCAAAGGGUUGCUAAUUUUGCUGAAUUACUUUCUGUAUUUCAUAUAGGACCAGCAGUGGUAAAGACAAACAGCAGUGGCUUGUUGGCUAGCCAGGGCACGGAUAGGCUGCUUGUACGUUUUCUUUUUUUGCCUUUGCAAAUCUGUAGUGCUACAGAAUAUGUCUUAUACUUGCAGAAGAGAAAAAAAGAGAACAAAGUGAAGAAAAAGAAAGAAAAGAAGAAAAAGAAAGAUAAAACAGGACCUGUCCAGCUUUCUAAGUUCUUCAAAAACAAAAAGAAGAAUGAGAACUAUAGCAUGAUAACUGGAAAGAAAAUUAAGAUGAAAAUAAAGAAGACUAAGAAGGAUAAAGAGAGAGACCGGAACCGUGCAGAGCUGCUUGAAUUUCUGAACUCUGCCUUAUAGUGGGAAGAGUGUGACCAAGGACUUGUAAGUACACCAAGCCAGUGAUGAUCAUGCCUAGCAAAAAAGCUAAAGAAAACUCAGGGAAAAGGAUGCCGAGUUUGACAAGUCCAGACUCCUGCUGAGACAAUCAGGAUAUCCUUUUUUAAUGGCAAAAUGAAGAUCAAACGAUAACUUGUUAAUGAAGAUCUAUGUCCUUCUUUUGAGAUGCUAUGGUAACAGCCAGGCUGUGGUGUUUUAGAAGAUCCUAAGAGUGUGUCAUUGGCAAUGACAUGAAUUGACACACUGAGGUCCAAUUCUGUCCUAACUGCAUGCAGAACACGGUUUUAAUUUCAAAUGUCUUAAAGUUUCCAGUAGCUUAAACAAAGCGGAUUAUUUGUAACUGUCUGUUGAAAGAUGAGGCAUUUCUAUGUGUAUAUUUUUUCCAGUAGUGGUUUUACUUGUCCUAAAGAACAGGUUGACCUUUGUAAAUAGAACAUCCUUUUACAUAAAUGCUUUUUUGACAGUUCAUUCAUUAAUAUAUUAUUUUAUUUCAGAGUGUGAGGUGUGGUCUUUCUCUGGACGGUUUUAUUACUCUUUGUCACUAGAAGCUUCAACACUAAAUAUUCUGGAGCAAUAAUAGUAGCUGGAUAAUUUUUAUUCCAAAACUGAAGAGGGAAAGUCUGUGGUUCUCUUUAUCUGGAUCAGCUGCUCACAGGCAGCACGCACUCACUGUAACUGAUUUACUCCCAUAUCUCAAGUUGCAGUUCCUAGAGCUAAGAAGCCUGAAGAUCUGGCCUGCCUUUCUGACCCUGUGAGCUGUUUGUCAAAUCUUCCUCUGUCUGAAGUACUGCCAGCACGUAGCAUACACCUGAGAGAAAGAGCCAUAGGAAUGGUUCUGAGGCAGGCAGUGACAGUGACAGAGAUGUCCAGGUGUGUUGUUGGUCUGCAGCUGCUGCCCAGCAUAGUGUGUGUGUGUGUGUUUUGGCCUUAGCAGAUUGCUCAAAGCCUGCUCACUUCUUCC